AUUGAACGCUGGCGGAAUGCUUUACACAUGCAAGUCGGGCGGCAGCGCGGGGGCAACCCUGGCGGCGAGCGGCGAACGGGUGAGUAACACAUCGGAACGUACCCUGUCGUGGGGGAUAACGAAUCGAAAGAUUCGCUAAUACCGCAUACGACCUGAGGGUGAAAGCGGGGGAUCGCAAGACCUCGCGCGAGAGGAGCGGCCGAUGGCGGAUUAGCUAGUUGGUGGGGUAAAGGCCCACCAAGGCGACGAUCCGUAGCGGGUCUGAGAGGACGGCCCGCCACACUGGGACUGAGACACGGCCCAGACUCCUACGGGAGGCAGCAGUGGGGAAUUUUGGACAAUGGGGGCAACCCUGAUCCAGCCAUGCCGCGUGAGUGAAGAAGGCCUCGGUGUAAGACUCUUCGUCGGAGAAUACGAUGGCGUAAUACCUACGUGCGGAUGACGGUAACCGGCGACUAAGAAGACACCGG
rnacentral:rRNA from 1 species